ACUACUUUAGUAUAAAAAGUACAACCGCCUUCCAAGCAGUAAGUUUAACAAUAAAAGUAGUA
rnacentral:tRNA from 1 species